CUAAAAUUUACAAUCACACCCCUUCCCCUUUGCAAAAUACUCAUGUGGCUUGGAGUUCCUCUUAUCCUCUACACAGCUCAUAACCUUAUCCUGCCAAUCAAUUUCUCUACCAAGCAAGAAAAAAAGAUCACAGACAGUUUUGGAAAAUGGAUUUUGUAAGUCCAAUUAUCGGUCCUAUUGUUGAAUCUUUGUUGGUGCCGGUUAAGAAACACUUGGGUUUCUUGGUAUCCUCCACAAAGUAUGUUAAAAAGGUGGAUGCUAGAAUGAAGCAACUAAAUGUCAUAGCACAAGAAGUUCAAGAUGAACGGGACAAGGCUGUUGAAAACAUAGAAAUCGUACCUGCACGUGUGGAGUCAUGGUUGGAAGAAGUCAAAAUUUUAAAUCAAAGAAGUAAUCUAAUAGAAGCAAUCGGAUGCUUCAAUGUGACAAAGAGAUACAAAGUUGGAAAACAAUCUUAUAGUAUUUUGGAGGAGAUAAAAGAUCUCGAAGACCGAGAAUCCAAAAUCGAGUUUACUCAUGCGCAAAGACCUCUUGCUGAGGUUGGUUCUACUUCUACCUCUACUAUGGGUACCCAAGACAACUUUGAGUCUAGAGACUUGAUAUUUAAUAAUGCACUAAAAGCCCUUCAAUCAAAUGAAGAGUCCCAUAGGAUGAUUGCAUUGUGUGGGAUGGGUGGUGUGGGUAAAACCACCAUGAUGGAACAACUAAAGAAGGCUGUCGAAGAUUUAAAAAUGUUCGAUUUGGUCGUGAAGGUGGUUAUUGGGGAAAACACUGACCCAACUUCUCUUCAGAAAGCUAUUGCAGAAUACAUUGGUAACACGCUGGUUGAAACAACAAAAGGUGCAAGGGCUGAACGUCUUCGUAAGAUAUUUGAGGUGAAGUCAGAACAACGUCAAAAGAAAAUUUUGGUAAUAAUGGAUGAUAUUUGGAAGGAAGUGGAGCUCACCGACUUUGGACUAAGUCCUCUUCCAAACGGGUUAAAAUUGUUGUUCACGUCACGAUUUGAGAAUGUUUGCACCCACAUGGGUGUUGGAAUUGGUUCAAUUUUUAGAGUAGGCGUUUUAAGUGGCAUUGAAGCAAAAACUUUAUUUUUUAGAAUUUGCCAUUUGGAUGGUGAUCAAGAUGAACUCCAACGGAUAGGUGAAGAUAUUGUGAAGAAAUGUGGUGGUUUACCGAUUGCUAUAGUAACAAUUGCCAAAAGUCUUAGGGGUAACAAAAAGGAGGCAUGGAAAGAGGCACUUUCCAAUUUACAACAUCAUGAUCUUCAAGACCAUGAUAACAUUGUGCAUAAAGUUUUUGAAAUGAGCUACAAAAAUCUCAAAAGGGAGGAUGAUAAAGCAAUUUUUCUUCUUAGCGGCUUAUUUCCAGAUGACUUUAAUAUUCCAGUUGAGGACUUGAUGAUGUACGGAUGGGGAUUGAAUUUGUUUGCUAAUGUACACACUUUAAUAGACGCAAGGAUACGGGCCAAGGUUUGUGUUGAAAACCUCAUACAUGCAAACUUGUUGACUGAAAGUGAUGUCAACGGGUGUGUCAAAAUGCAUGAUCUCGUCCGUGCUUUUGUUUUAAGCAAUUUCUCGAAAGUCAAACAAGCUUCAAUUGUCAACCAUGAUAGCAUGGCAUCGAAGCGACUUAUAUCAGACUCUUGUGAAAGAAUUCUAUUAAAGUGUACAGGCAUGUCUGGAUUUCCUGUAGACUUUAAUAGCACAAACCUCUCGCUUAUGAUUCUAAUGGAUGGGUAUGAGUUCUUUAAGCUUCCGGAAGAUAUGUAUAAAAGAAUGAAAAACCUUGAAGUUAUGUCAUAUGUGAACAUGGGUAUUCCCAGGCUUCCGAUAACGUUCGGGCACACAACCACACUUCGAACACUUUCUCUUCGUUCAUGCUCGUUAACAGAUGAUAUCUCUUUUCUUGGAAGUCUUUGCAACUUGGAAACACUGAGCCUUGUUGAUUGUAACAUAAGAAGGUUGCCAUCCGCCAUUGGAGAGUUGAAAAAACUAAAGUUACUAGAUUUGACCGGAUGUGUUGACCUUUAUAUUGAUCAAGGGGUAUUGCAAAACUUGGAUAGUCUUAAAGAGCUUUAUAUGAGGGCUUCUAAAGGUAGGCCUGUUAGGUUUGCAAAGGCCAAUUGUGACGAAUUGGAGAAGCUUUCACAGGUUCUUUUUGCAUUAGAGUUGGAAUUUUAUGAUAAUGAGCUCCAACCAAAAUGUAUGUCCUUUAAGAACCUUGGAAGGUUUAGGAUCUCUAUAGGCUGUGAGUUGAAUUAUGGUGAAAAGUAUUCAUUCAGAAACACGCUAAACCUUGUCGCAGAGUGCACCGAGCUUAACGAAAGCAAUAUUGGAGACCUAUUCAAACAUACAGAGGAACUUCGAUUACAAGUGAAGUAUAUGAUCCGUCUUAAAGACAUUUCAUUGCAUCACACAUUUCCCCAACUAAAAAUCCUUCAUAUUUCCAAGUGUGCAGAAUUGACAUACCUCUUUACAGUUGAUAUGGCAAAUGGUUUGAAGCAGCUUGAGCGGCUUAGAAUAUCCGACUGCCCUUGUUUGGAAGCACUUAUUGGUGAGAAUAAUGGAGUUGGGUUGGUUACAUUAAAAAAGUUGAAUUAUAUGUUUUUGGAGGAUCUACCAGAAAUGGUCAGUUUGUGCAACAAUGUUGUUGAAUUACCAGAAAUGGUGGAGUUGAAACUUGCUGGCCUUCCCAACUUCAUGAGCAUUUAUCCGGAUGAUUCUGAAAUGCAACCAUUAUUCAAAAAAGAGGGUGUGAUUCCUAAGUUAGAGAAAUUAGAUAUUUCUAAGAUGGAGAACUUGAAGCAAGUAUGGCCGUGUCAAAUUUCUACUAGUGAGAAAGCUGAUGUUUCCAAGUUGAGACAAAUUAGAGUGAGAGGAUGUGAUAGGCUUAUAAAUCUUUUUCCAAGAAAUCCAUUGCCAUUAUUGAAUCAUUUAGAAGAGGUUGUAGUUAAAAAGUGUGGUUCCGUUGAAGUGUUAUUCAACAUCGACUUCGAAAGUGUGUGUGGAAUGGGGAAAAACAGUAGCUGCAGAUUAAGAAAGAUUGAAGCGAAAGAAUUAAGGAAGCUAAAAGAGUUGUGGAGGAUGGAAGGUGUAAAUGAAUCUCAUACUCUCGUCAACCACUUUAAAGGUGUACAAUCAAUUCACAUAGAAGAAUGCGGCAACUUUACAGAUAUAUACACACCUACCUCAGCCAAUUUUGAUUUGGGGGCACUUACCAGUUACCAUUACCAUUCGGUGUAUAAUAGUGGUGCAUUGGAAGAAAGGGAAAGAAGGAAUGAAAUGACUGAGAGUGACCAGGAGAUUAAUGAAAUAAAAGAAGUGGAUGAUUACAUUCCAGAUGUCACAUACCCAUCUUAUCUUCUGCACACCUUUCCUCACCUUCAGUUUCUUGAGUUAACGAGAGAUGAAAGGGUGGAGGUGGUGUUUGAUAUGGAUAGUCCAACAAGUAGUAGAGAAUUAGCAACAAUUCAACCGCCACUACUACUUCCCUACCUUCAAAGUAUAGACCUAUAUGGGUUGAAAGAGAUGAGUCAUGUGUGGAAGUGCAAUUGGAAUACAUUCUUAAUUCGUCAUCAUCCACCUUUGCAAUUUCCAUUCCAAAACCUCACAACCAUAUUCUUGAGUUCUUGUGACAAAAUAAAGUACUUGUUUUCUCCUCUUAUUGCAAAAUACUUAUCCAACUUAGAGAGUGUCUGUAUCAGAUGGUGUAAUGGAAUUGAAGAAGUUAUUUCAAGAAGAGAUGAUGAAAACACUGCAUCUGCAUCUUCUUAUCAAGACACCACAUUCUUUCCUCGUUUGGAGACUCUCAUGCUUGGAGAUCUCCCAUGUCUAAAGUGUAUCGAUGAUGAAAAGAAUACUUGGAGUAGGAGUAACAAAAUUUCUUCUAGUGUUACUAAUACCAUUCAUGAUCACCUCCAGAGUGCUCAAGUAACCGGCUCUUAUUGGUCGUUGUGCCAAUACCCCACAAAGAUAAUCAUAUACAACUGUGCUGCAUUGUCAAGUCUAAUUCCAUGGUAUGCAGCAGGACAAAUGAAAAGACUUCAAAAGCUGGAAAUUGAAAAUUGCAGUAGGAUGAUGGGGGUAUUUGAAGGAAGUGGUGCUGGUACUUCACCAACAAGUCUACCUCUACAAAACAGUACCACUGUAGCUGUCCCUCAACUCUCCAACUUAGUAACUGUGGGUAUCUAUGAGUGUGACCUUCUGACACAUAUAUUCACAUUCUCCACUCUUAAGACUCUCAGUCAUCUCAAACAGUUGAAAGUAAAAAGAUGCAAGACAAUACAAGUGAUUGUAAAAGAAGAAAACAAAACGUCAUCAGACGAAGAAGAAGUUGUGGUGUUUCCUAAUCUGGAGACGCUUGAACUUGACCGUCUACCAAACCUCAAUGGUUUCUUCUUGGGAAUGAAUGACUUCCGAUGUCCCUCAUUGGUGAAUGUUAUGAUCAAUGAUUGCCCUCAAUGGGUGGCAUUUUCAUCUGGUCAGUUGGAAACUCCAAAGCUCAAGUACGUAAACACAAGCUUUGGCAAACACAGUCUUGAACAUGGUUUUAACUUUCAGACCACAUUCCCAACAUCUUCAAAAGGGAUGCCUUCCUCUUUUCAUAAUCUGAUAGAAAUUAAUAUAGAGAAUAAAGAGGAUGUUGGAAGGACUAUUAUUCCAUCUCAUGCGCUGCUACAAUUGGAAAAGCUUCAACGGUUUACUAUGGACAGAUGUGAUGGGCUAGAAGAGGUAUUUCAAGUAGUAGCAAUGGAAGGGAGUGGUUCCAGUGAAUCAAAAACUCUUGUCCCAAUUCCAAACCUAACACAAGUGAAGUUAGAGGCGCUAUGGGAUCUAAAGUAUUUAUGGAAGAGUACCAACCAAUGGAUGGUACUGGAGUUUCCAAACCUAACAACUCUCUCUAUUCACUAUUGCCCCAAGUUGGAACAUGUUUUUACAUGUUCCAUGGUUGAUAGUCUAGUGCAACUCCAAGAACUACAUAUAAGUCACUGUGAGAAAAUAGAGGUAAUUGUGAAGGGAGAAGAAGAAGAAGAAUGUGAUGCCAAAGUAAAUGAGAUUAUCUUACCUCGUCUAAACUCCUUACAACUACAAGAACUUUGGAAUCUCAAGGGAUUUUGCUUAGGGAAGAAGGCUUUCUCAUUGCCAGCUUUGGAUACUUUACAAAUCAAAGACUGCUUAGAUAUUACAGUUUUCACCAAGGGACACGUGUCUACGCCGCAGCUAAAAGUAAUAGAUACAGAUUUUGGGAUAUGUGAUGUAAGGACAGAUGUCAACUCCUUUAUAGAGGCCAAACUAGAAGAGGGGCGUAAAUUUUCUGCAUCGGCAUAAAUUCUAUAACGUGAAGAUCAUAUCAUAUGUUUAAUGUACAAGGUUUUGUAAGAUUGUUUGAUUCGGUUUGGUUCGACCUCCAGGGUGUUUAAUAUUCAGUUUUGCCAACUUUGAAUUUUGUUCCGUUUGGUUUUGACCGUCAAAAAUAUCCAAACCGAGGAAACAGAAGCCCCAACUGAAGGGGAAAGUGGAAACCGACUGGAUAGAAGUCGAAUAAGCUUGUAUUUUUUUCUUUAGUUUUUAUUACUAAAUGCUUCAAAAACUGAAAAAACACAUGCUCAAAGCGUUACUAAAUUGUAACCUAUUGUAAGAUUAUGUCACGUCCCCCGACCCCACCUGGACGGAAUCGGGAGCCGCGAGCAGCCAAGUGGUACCGGUGUUUUUUUUUUUUUAAAAACACCGGAUUUUAUUUAUUAAAUGGAUGGGAUAAAAACCCAUGUUUUACAA